UGGGGAAUAUUGCACAAUGGGGGAAACCCUGAUGCAGCGACGCCGCGUGAACGAAGAAGGUAUUCGUAUCGUAAAGUUCUGUCCUAUGGGAAGAUAAUGACAGUACCAUAGAAGAAAGCUCCGGCUAAAUACGUGCCAGCAGCCGCGGUAAUACGUAUGGAGCGAGCGUUGUCCGGAAUUAUUGGGCGUAAAGGGUACGCAGGCGGUUUAAUAAGUCGAAUGUUAAAGAUCGGGGCUCAACCCGCAAAGCAUUGGAAACUGAUAAACUUGAGUAGUGGAGAGGAAAGUGGAAUUCCUAGUGUAGUGGUGAAAUACGUAGAUAUUAGGAGGAAUACCAGUAGCGAAGGCGACUUUCUGGACACAAACUGACGCUGAGGUACGAAAGCGUGGGGAGCAAACAGG
rnacentral:rRNA from 2 species